UUUUAUUUGCUAUGUUUGUGCUUAACUCUUGCUGCUUUUUUUUUAAUGCACCUUAAAUCUAAUGCAGUUUAAUUUAUUUCCUACAGGAUACGUUUGGAAAGGUGAUUAUUUGGGUGCAGCCGUAACAAUUUUGCUUCAACCUUGUGCAAUAGAUCUUCUAAACUGCAGCCCAUGUUGGAGGUUUGGAAAGUGCAAUACUCAAAUGUUUACUCAUCCCCACUGAGUGAGUUUGCCUUCAACCUUGAUUAAAUGCACCUGGUCCAGCUAAUCAAGUCCCUUUAAUCUCAGGCUUAAUUACAGGGUGUAUUUGCAGAUCUCUCCAUCUCCAACAUAACCAGCAUGGCAUGUGCAGUUCCGUUGCAGGGGUCCUGUCAUAGUACAAAUG